CCGGACUUCCACAGUCAACGUUCCCACCCGCUCAGACGGCACCUGUGGUUUUUAACCCGGCACCGACCUCACAAAUGAAUACGCCUUCCCAGCCGCGACAGUUUCCAGCAGGGCCUCGUGCUAUUCACCAGCAGGGAGGAUUCAGGUCUCUUCAGGUAACGCUUUUUUCCGUGCCGCUUCCCAGCCUUGCCCUGGGCGAACGGGGCGCGCGCGCGGACGC